UACGUAGGAGGCGAGCGUUGUCCGGAUUCACUGGGCGUAAAGGGCGCGUAGGCGGCGGCUUGAGUCCCUGCGUGAAAUCUCCCGGCUCAACCGGGAGGGUGCGCGGGAUACUGGGCGGCUUGAGGACAUCAGAGGAGAGCGGAAUCCCCGGUGUAGUGGUGAAAUGCGUAGAUAUCGGGGGGAACACCAGUGGCGAAGGGGGCUCUCUGGGGUGCACCUGACGCUGAUGCGCGAAAGCGUGGGGAGCGAACCGG
rnacentral:rRNA from 1 species